AUCUCAUUUGAUGAGAAAAAAACUGCAACAAUAUGAGUCUAAGAUUCCAUGAUUCGUUGUAUUUAAGUCUCUGAUGAUU
rnacentral:snoRNA from 1 species